rnacentral:rRNA from 1 species
CCUGAGAAACCCAAAAGAUCGAAUGGGGAGAUUCAUCGUCAGCGUGGCUGGCUUCCGUGCGGUUCGCGAUGGCCGGGACCUCGGUCCCGUGUCACGCGUCCGCCGCGGUAUGCCCGGCCGCGUCGGCGUGCACUUCUCCCCUAGUAGGACGUCGCGACCCGUUGGGUGUCGGACCGAUGGCCGUUUGGUCGCCUGUCUCGUCGCGUUCACGCGUGUACGUGGCAGACCGAAAUGGUCGAGCGUCCGGCUGCCCGGCGGUAUAGAACGCUAUUGAACGGUAAUGAGCCGCAUUAAGUGCGUUCAGGCUCGUCGGCAGGCUCGUCUCGCCCGGAUUUACGGACCUAGCGCCGUUGCCGGGUGCUUGGCGUGGCUGUUAGUCGGCGAUGUCCUCGGACUGGCUCUAAAAUUCGAAAGGAUUACCGGUCGGCGACGCUACUGCUUUGGGUACUUUC